CCUACGGGAGGCAGCAGUGGGGGAUAUUGCACAAUGGGGGAAACCCUGAUGCAGCGACGCCGCGUGGGUGAAGAAGUAUUUCGGUAUGUAAAGCCCUAUCAGCAGGGAAGAAAGAAGACGGUACCUGACUAAGAAGCCCCGGCUAACUACGUGCCAGCAGCCGCGGUAAUACGUAGGGGGCGAGCGUUAUCCGGAUUCACUGGGUGUAAAGGGAGCGUAGACGGCCGUGCAAGCCAGGAGUGAAAGCCCGGGGCCCAACCCCGGGACUGCUCUUGGAACUGUGCGGCUGGAGUGCGGGAGGGGCAGGCGGAAUUCCUGGUGUAGCGGUGAAAUGCGUAGAUAUCAGGAGGAACACCAGCGGCGAAGGCGGCCUGCUGGACCGCGACUGACGUUGAGGCUCGAAAGCGUGGGGAGCGAACAGGAUUAGAUACCCCGGUAGUC
rnacentral:rRNA from 1 species